AAACAUCUCAUCUGAUCUCUACACGGGUGUCUGGCCGAGGGUGAGUCUUCAAGAGGGCGGGACAUUAACGCUGUGAUGUGAAGCUCUGCCGGUGUUUUUCUACAGUUCACACAAUCACCAGAAAGCCCGUGUCUUGGCACCAGAACCUGGAGGAACCUGCAGACGAUGGGGCCGGGAGUGGAGACCUCAUACCGUGCCGAUGGAGACAGACAAGUAGCCAGGUUCCUAAAUCUUAUCCACCAGGCCGCUCAGGGGCCACGGAAGAGAUACCCAGACACGCAAACAGAAAGCCCAGAAAUUGGACGGGACUCUGAGGCCUAGGUAAGCAUGGCUCCUUGCCUUGGGGAGGCCCAGGGGCAACAGAGGCUGUGGCUAAGAGAAUGGUAUAGGAGGCCAGACCGCCUGGCUUUGACCCCUGGCUACCACUUACUAGCUGUGUGACCUUGGGGGAGUCAUCGAAGGUCUUUAGUGCUUGUGGUUCCGCAGUGGAGCAAAAAUGGAGAUAUUACAGCAUGAGGCCGUGUGUUCACGGUGCCCAGAGCAGGCCUAACCCACAGCAAAACACACCCCCUUUGAUUGGAGAGGCUCCAGGAGCGGUGAGGAGCCCGGGAAAUGCAAUCGUCAGCAGUCUCUCCCGAGAUGACAUAGGGCUUCUGGUGCUAAGACAUUUCCGAGAACUUCCUGCCACGCUUGUCUCUUGUGUUGCUCCCGUCUUUCGUCACACGGAAGUUUUCCGUUUUGAAGUCAUCAGAUGUGCCGGUGUUUUCUUUUCUUUUUUUUUUUUUGUGCCGGUCUUUUCCAUCCCGGGGUCUGGGCGCUGUGCCUUGCUUAGGAAAGCCUGCAAUAUCCAGAGGAGCAACACGACUGGCUUUCCUUUUGGGCUUUUCCUCAAGUUGUCGUGUCUUUUGAACACGUGGCUUUUAGGCCAUCCGUGCCUUUUGCCCCUGAGGUGAAGCUGGAGACGCUGAUGCUCAGCUGGCUCAGAACUUCCUUCCCUCCCUCCAAGGCACCGAGU